GACGAACGCUGGCGGCGCGCCUAACACAUGCAAGUCGAACGAGCGAGAGAGAGCUUGCUUUCUUGAGCGAGUGGCGAACGGGUGAGUAACGCGUGAGGAACCUGCCUCAAAGAGGGGGACAACAGUUGGAAACGACUGCUAAUACCGCAUAAGCCCACGGUGCCGCAUGGCACAGAGGGAAAAGGAGCAAUCCGCUUUGAGAUGGCCUCGCGUCCGAUUAGCUAGUUGGUGAGGUAACGGCCCACCAAGGCGAUGAUCGGUAGCCGGACUGAGAGGUUGAACGGCCACAUUGGGACUGAGACACGGCCCAGACUCCUACGGGAGGCAGCAGUGGGGAAUAUUGCACAAUGGGGGAAACCCUGAUGCAGCGACGCCGCGUGGAGGAAGAAGGUCUUCGGAUUGUAAACUCCUGUUGUUGGGGAAGAUAAUGACGGUACCCAACAAGGAAGUGACGGCUAACUACGUG
rnacentral:rRNA from 1 species